rnacentral:rRNA from 1 species
UACGUAGGUGGCAAGCGUUGUCCGGAAUUAUUGGGCGUAAAGCGCGCGCAGGCGGUCUCUUAAGUCUGAUGUGAAAUCUCGCGGCUCAACCGUGAGCGGUCAUUGGAAACUGGGAGACUUGAGUGCAGAAGAGAAGAGCGGAAUUCCACGUGUAGCGGUGAAAUGCGUAGAGAUGUGGAGGAACACCAGUGGCGAAGGCGGCUCUGUGGGCUGUAACUGACGCUGAGGCGCGAAAGCGUGGGGAGCGAACAGG